AACAAACGCUGGCGGCGUGCCUAAUACAUGCAAGUCGAACGGGGAAAGCUUUCGGGUGAGUACUAGUGGCGCACGGGUGAGUAACGCGUGGAUAAUCUGCCUUAGAGUGGGGGAUAACUAGUCGAGAGAUUAGCUAAUACCGCAUAAGACCACAAGAACUGCGGUUCAAGGGGUCAAAGGUUUUUCGCUCUAAGAUGAGUCCGCGUAAGAUUAGCUAGUUGGUAGGGUAACGGCCUACCAAGGCGACGAUCUUUACCUGGUCUGAGAAGAUGAUCAGUCACACUGGAACUGAGACACGGUCCAGACUCCUACGGGAGGCAGCAGUAGGGAAUAUUGCACAAUGGAGGAAACUCUGAUGCAGCGACGCCGCGUGAGUGAUGAAGGCCUUCGGGUCGUAAAGCUCUGUCGCAGGGGAAUAACACAAUGAAGGUACCCUGUAAGAAAGGAUCGGCUAACUUCGUGCCAGCCGCCGCCGUAACAC
rnacentral:rRNA from 1 species